AAAAAGAUAAGCUAAGUUUAAGCUACUAGGUUCAUACCCUAUUGAUAGGUUAAUCCUUCUUUUUA
rnacentral:tRNA from 1 species